GACGAACGCUGGCGGCGUGCUUAACACAUGCAAGUCGAACGAAGAGCGAUGGAAGCUUGCUUCUAUCAAUCUUAGUGGCGAACGGGUGAGUAACGCGUAAUCAACCUGCCCUUCAGAGGGGGACAACAGUUGGAAACGACUGCUAAUACCGCAUACGAUCUAAUCUCGGCAUCGAGGAAAGAUGAAAGGUGGCCUCUAUUUAUAAGCUAUCACUGAAGGAGGGGAUUGCGUCUGAUUAGCUAGUUGGAGGGGUAACGGCCCACCAAGGCGAUGAUCAGUAGCCGGUCUGAGAGGAUGAACGGCCACAUUGGGACUGAGACACGGCCCAGACUCCUACGGGAGGCAGCAGUGGGGAAUCUUCCGCAAUGGACGAAAGUCUGACGGAGCAACGCCGCGUGAGUGAUGACGGCCUUCGGGUUGUAAAGCUCUGUUAAUCGGGACGAAAGGCCUUCUUGCG
rnacentral:rRNA from 1 species